GGCGUCGCGGAAUGUGGUGUUUAGGAGGACCGUGCGCGUCUGUCCGGUAUCGUCCAAGUCUCCAUGAAUGGGGCCAGCAACCCAGAGAGGGUGUCAGGCCCGUGGGACGAGCCGCGACGGCGUAUUGGGUCUCUCCUUAGAGUCGGGUUGCUUGAGAGUGCAGCCCUAAGCGGGAGGUAAACUCCUCUAAGGCUAAAUACGGCCACGAGACCGAUAGCGAACAAGUACCGCGAGGGAAAGUUGAAAAGAACUUUGAAGAGAGAGUUCAAUAGUGCGUGAAACCGUUCAGGGGGUUAAACGGGUGGGCCCUCGAAGGUCGAACGGUCCCCAUUCCAGUCAUUCGCAGGCCGGUCCGCGUCGUCAUCCGAUCUCGCUACGGGACGGUGCGGCGCGGGUCGCCGGUCUACGAGGGCCGCAAGUUGGGGACCCAGUAGGACUCCGCAACCGUCUGGGAGGCCGUCAGAAGGGUUCCGGUAGGAAGCCCCCUCGGGGGUGGACUCUGGGAUUUCCGGGCGGUCCUCCCGGCCGUAAACCUGCAUUCUCUCGAACGGUGCGUGGGACGAGCCUCGGUUCGCAAGGGCCGGGGUUGUCGGUUUCACAGCCGCCGGGAGACGCGGCGGAGAGUAGAGUCGGGUCCCACCCGACCCGUCUUGAAACACGGACCAAGGAGUCUAACAUGUGCGCGAGUCGUCGGGUUUGACUAAACCCGAAGGCGCAAUGAAAGUGAAGACCGUCCUCGUUGGCGUGUCUAGGGGAGAUCCCGUCCUGCUCCGGUAGCUCGGGCGCAUCCCCGGGGCGU
rnacentral:rRNA from 1 species